rnacentral:rRNA from 1 species
AAAUUGAAGAGUUUGAUCAUGGCUCAGAUUGAACGCUGGCGGCAGGCCUAACACAUGCAAGUCGAACGGUAACAGAAAGC